UACGGGGGGGGGCAAGCGUUGUUCGGAAUUACUGGGCGUAAAGGGCUCGUAGGCGGCCAACUAAGUCAGACGUGAAAUCCCUCGGCUUAACCGGGGAACUGCGUCUGAUACUGGAUGGCUUGAGUUCGGGAGAGGGAUGCGGAAUUCCAGGUGUAGGCGGUGAAAUGCGUAGAGAUCGGCAGGAACACCCGUGGCGUAAGCGGCCACCUAGCCCGUUACUGACGCUGAAGCGCGACAGCGUGGGGAGCGAACUGG
rnacentral:rRNA from 1 species